rnacentral:rRNA from 1 species
CCUACGGGAGGCAGCAGUGGGGAAUAUUGCACAAUGGGGGAAACCCUGAUGCAGCGACGCCGCGUGAGUGAAGAAGGAAUUCGUUAUGUAAAGCUCUAUCAGCAGGGAAGAAAAUGACGGUACCUGAGUCAGAAGCCCCGGCUAACUCCGCUCCAGCAGCCGCGGUAAUACGUAGGGGGCAAGCGUUAUCCGGAUUUACUGGCGGUAAAGGGAGCGUAGACGGCAGUGCAAGUCUGGAGGGAAAGGCGGGGGCUCAACCCCCGGACUGCACUGGAAACUGUGAGGCUAGAGUUCAGGAGAGGUAAGUGGAAGUCCUGGUGUAGCGGUGAAAUGCGUAGAUAUUAGGAGGAACACCAGGGGCGAAGGCGGCUUACUGGACUGUAACUGACGUUGAGGCACGAAAGCGUGGGGAGCAAACAGGAUUAGAUACCCGAGUAGUC